ACAUGGACCUGCGUAUCCGACGCCUCCUGUGGGAAAGAAGAGAUAACGAGCCGGGAUGGCGGUUUAAGCAUUGUAGUGCUGACCGCUUGUACCUCCGCGUACAGUACGGUGGACUUGGCUUCGUGUCCGUAGAGGACACUUUGUCUGAGUCUAUCAUUUACUGUUGGGCUUACGUGCAAUGUAGGCCCGAGUUGGAGCUGGCUCGUGAACUUUUUGGAACCUUAAACAGGAGUGCUAGAAGCGGUAUAAAACAGAGCAUUGCGAAAGGAGCGCGUAAAGUGUUCCGAAGUUAUGCCCUUCUCUCGAAAAAUUCCGCCCAGCGAGUAUCUGACCUUGAUGGGGAUGCCUCCCCAGGAUUCCGAGUAGGGGAAAUGAUAUUCAUGGAACCAACUCGGGGUGCCAGAGCAAUCGUAAAAAUCCUCCGUAAGGAGAAUGAUUCGCGACGCUUGGCUGCCUGGAAAGGUAGACCUAUGGGAGGUCGGGUCGUGUCAUUGCCAGAGCUCGACCAGGUUCAUAGCUACCACUGGUUGAUCCGUGCGAGGAUUGGCAGGCGUUCGUUCCGAGACUGCAUUGCAGCACAGGAGGGACAGUUGAAAGCGCGGGAGCUUAUGUGUCCACAUAUAAAUGCGAAAGCAAAGUGGUGCCGACGAUGUGGGGACGGUCGUGUUGAAACCGAGCAGCAUAUCCUUAGUGGUUGUGCUUGGUCACGGACUGGAACUAUGUUAGAUCGACAUAACGGUGUUGUACGGCAAGUACACACGGCUUUAUGCAGGAAAUAUGGACUGCCCGUUUCUUCUCAUGUCGUUCCUUUGCAUGCGGUAAUCGAGAAUGAACAUGCCAAAAUCCUGUACGAUGUCGCGUUGCAUACUUCGCCUGCUGGCGUCCUCCCUAGGGAGGAUGGGAGUACGAGUUAUACGGGUCUGCGUAGCACCAGGCCCGAUAUGGUAAUAUUCGAUAAAAAAGCACGUACGAUCCUUAUUGUGGAAAUUUCGGUGCCAUGGAGAGAGAACCUGGUUAAACAGGAGCUCAUAAAGUGGCGGAAAUAUGCCAUAAAUUCUAUGAUCGAACCAUUGGAACUAGCGGAAGCUGAAAUACCGGGACCUAACCUGAAACAUGCGUUAGGCCUUGCGUACGGUACGAGUUUCCCAACAGUGAAGGUGGUCCCGAUAGUAGUUGGGUCGUGCGGCGAGGUAUUACCAAAUAUAACGAAGAGGCUGAGUGAACUUGGGAUACCUAAACGAGGAAUCCCGAGUUUGCUUGAGUCGAUACAGCGUGCUGCGAUAAUUGGUUCUGGACAUGUUAUCCGGGCGCACUUGAGUGUACCUAGGAGCGAGUCCGAGACUUAGUCGUAGCCCAGAUGUCGACAGCCCCUACACCGGUAGAUGGAAGGAGGUAUGUAUCUAAGCCCACGGCAAGCCACCAGUGGAAACGGUGACCACCUCUGUUCGCGGAAAUGCCCCGUAGAGUAUAUGAAGGUCGGAGCAUUGAAGCACAAGUGAGAACCCUGGAAGUAUGGUGGUGAGCUGGUAACCUCGAAUUCCUCCUAUGGGUGCUUGCGCCCGUAGGUCAUUUGUGUAUGUAGGGAUGGAAGGAAUCUCGAUAGCGCAAAUCGGGAUACCGCACUGGCGAUCAUGCUGCCAGUGGGCCCUGCUGAGUUGGGCGGGUUAGCAACCCGUCCAGGGACGCAGAUGCCAAAAGCCUGGUGACACUCUAAAGGGAGUCUACGGCGACGAGAACAUCCCCUAAGUCACCGACGCGCACGAAUGGAUCAACGAGAUUCCCACUGUCCCUAUCUACUAUCUAGCGAAACCACAGCCAAGGGAACGGGCUUGGCAAAUUUAGCGGGGAAAGAAGACCCUGUUGAGCUUGACUCUAGUCUGACUUUGUGAAGAAUCAUGAGAGGUGUAGCAUAAGUGGGAGCCGCAAGGCGCCAGUGAAAUACCACUACUUUCAUCGAUUCCUUACUUAAUCGGUAAAACGGGAGUGCGCCCGAAAGGGUGUCCAUUUUGGUGUUAAGUCGGGCCACCCGGUGGCCCGGCGACCCGCGCCGAUGACAGUGUCAGGCGGGGAGUUUGACUGGGGCGGUACAUCUGUCAAAGCGUAACGCAGGUGUCCUAAGGCGAGCUCAGAGAGGACGGAAACCUCUCGUAGAGCAAAAAGGCAAAUGCUUACUUGAUCCUGAUUUUCAGUACGAAUACGGACCGCGAAAGCGUGGCUUAUCGAUCCUUUUGAAUGUGUAAAGUUUCCAGCAAGAGGUGUCAGAAAAGUUACCACAGGGAUAACUGGCUUGUGGCGGCCAAGCGUCCAUAGCGACGUCGCUUUUUGAUCCUUCGAUGUCGGCUCUUCCUAUCAUUGCGAAGCAGAAUUCGCCAAGCGUUGGAUUGUUCACCCACCAAUAGGGAACGUGAGCUGGGUUUAGACCGUCGUGAGACAGGUUAGUUUUACCCUACUAAAGACCUGUUGCUAUGAUAGUAAUCCUGCUUAGUACGAGAGGAACCGCAGGUUCAGACAUUUGGUUCAUGUGCUUGGUCGAUAGA
rnacentral:rRNA from 2 species